ACGGGGCGCAGCAGGCGCGAAAACUGCACAAUGUGGGAAACCACGAUGCGGGAAACCCAAGUGCCAGCACUAUGUGUUGGCUGUCCUCGAGUGUUCGUAACUCGGGAAGAAAGUGCUGGGUAAGACGGGUGCCAGCCGCCGCGGUAAUACCCGCAGCACAAGUGGUGGUCAUUAUUAUUGGGCCUAAAGCGUCCGUAGCUGGUUUGUUAGAUGCCUGGGUAAAUCGAUGCGCUCAACGCAUCGACUUCCGGGUAGACCGGCAAACUCGAGACCGGGAGAGGCGUGAGCUACUCGAGGGGUAGGGGUAAAAUCCUGUAAUCCUUCGGGGAGGACCAGUGGCGAAGGCGUCACGCUAGAACGGCUCUGACAGUGAGGGACGAAGCCCUGGGGCGCAAACCGGAUUAGAUACCCGGGUAGUCCAGGGUGUAAACGCUGCAGACUUGGUGUCGCCGGUCCUACGAGGGCUGGCGGUGCCGGAAAGAAGUUGUUGAGUCUGCCGCCUGGGGAGUACGGUCGCAAGACUGAAACUCAAAGGAAUUGACGGA
rnacentral:rRNA from 1 species